ensembl:lincRNA
GAAAGACGUCAGAGACCACACAGCCCAGCCCCUCCCGGGCAGAGGAUGCCUAGGGCAGCGGCGUGUUCAAGGUCAUGCUGCUGGGAUGGCACCGGCCCCUUGGCCUCUGAUUCCAAGUCCAGGGACACGUCUGUGUUUCACUCAGGCCCCGUCCAGCAUGCGUCUGAGCAAGCUAUUUCCUUGGAGCAUAUUCUCAGAAGUGGAAUUAUCAGGUCAAAGGGUUAACAGCAACGGACAAGCCAGCGGUGGAGCUGAAUGCAGCCCGGGCCACCUAGCUCUGUCUCCAGGAUCCACAUGCUUCCUCUGAGCUCUACUAUCUCUAAAUGAAUCAAGGGACACCAGAGCCCCACACACCCUGGAUGUCUUCUACUUCAACCACCUUAUCUUUUUGAGAUGAAGAAACCAAGGGUUUAUCUGAGAAGCCAAUCCACCCCAAAGUACUCAGUGUGCAGUGACAAGCUAGAAAGACACCCAGGCCUCCUGUCUCCAGGGCAGCCCUAUCCCCCACCACUACCUCUCACUGUGGCUCACCUGCUGUCCCCGGGUAGUGACUGGGCUGAGAGGGGACAACUUCCCAGCCCUCAUCCCUGAGCACCUAAGCCAGAGAACUGAGCAGUCUCUAAGCCAAUGGAAAAUCAGACCAGACAGGUCAGCUCUGGAAAAAUCAAGCUGAGACCAGUGCUUUCUGGAGAAACACCAAACCCACCAUUUUCUCUGGCCAACGGAGCAGUUUCUUUCAGGCUAUUUCUGUCCAGGAGUCAAGGCUGGGAGAAGAAAGUGACGAAAGCACAUUUCUUUUAAAGAAACUAAUGCAGAAGGACAGAGGAAGGAGGAUUCUCCAAGGUCCAUCCCAUCGACCAAGGAGAGGCGCUUUCUGCCAGGACCCGUGCCAGAAGGAACCCCCAUACCAAGUUCUGCCCUCUCUCCUCUCCCUGCCUCCCCAGGCCCAGCCCCACCUCUGGUCCUUUCUGGGAUGAGCUCUGUUGCUUCUCCCCUUCUGCCUCCUCUGCUGACAUGCACCUUCGUCGAGCCUCUAUAGUUAUAAAUAAAUGAUGUCUGGAUUGAUUAGAGGACUGGCUUUCCCUCCAGCAAUAACUCUGACCUCUCAUUUCUGAAAUCUUGCUGCCAAUCAGCAUCACUCAAAUUUCCUGUCGCACUGGGACUUUGGUGGAAAGAAUCCUCAACUGAGGAUACGCGAGUGCCAGAUCUGGAGUAAGGAGAGGAGGAUUCCAGGUCUGGCCCCACUACUGACGCUCUGUGUCCUUGGGCAAGUCACUCAACUCUCUGAGCCUCAGUGUGCUCUCGGCAAAGACGAUAGUCAUUCCUAGCCACCUCCCAGACAGAAUUGUUGGAAGAAGUGACAAAGGUGAAUGUGGAAACACAGUGAAUUGUCCCAAGCAGGUGUCAGUGACAGAAUUGCUCCACCUCACAGCCGGCCAGAUCCAGGACCCAGGGAAGCCCUGUCAAUUGCCAUGAGCUUCACUGACGUCCUCCACAAGGGAGCGAGCCACACGAGCUCUUCACUGUUGUCUGGGAUACAAAAAUAGUAUAUACAUGGGAAGACAUCUUUGAACAAUAAAAUGUCCUGCCCUGCUGAUAUUAUACAGUGAUCAUAAAUGAUGCUUAUGGAGAACGUUUGACAAAAUAAAGAAAUAAUUGCGCCAUAAGAGAAAAACUCCAAAUACAAAAUUGUGUCUCCAGUUUACAGAGAAAGAACACAUAGAAGAGACAAGGAAUAAUGACCAAGUGCUAACAGCCACUGUCUCCCACGUAUAGGAUACUUCACCUGUUUUAUGAACUGUUUUUUCUAUGAGUCUGUAUCGGUGACAGGGCAAGGGAGGGAUUACAUUUUCUUUCUCUCUCUUUUUUUUUAAGAUUUUAUUUAUUUAUUUGACAUAGAGAGAUCACAGAGAGGCAGAAGGAGGCUCUCUGCUGAGCAGAGAGCCCAAUGCAGGACUUGAUCCCAGGACCCUGAGAUCAUGACCUGAGCUGACUGCAGAGGCUUAACCCACUGAGCCAUCCAGGC